CCUGCCUCUCUUCUCCAAGCAGGGCUCCCAUCUCUUCAGGCUGGGCUAACAUCAUUACACACUCCUGUCAGGUGACCACAGGUAACUGAAAUGUGGGACACUGAAGACAGGAAGGAGGGUCUGCUGUAUGCAGACAUUGUGAUGUUUCUCAUAAGGCCCUCAGAGAUCUUGGGCUUUGCACUCUAUUUUUAACAAUGAGUCAUUUGCCUUGAGAUGCUGUUGGCUGUCCAAACUCAUGAUUUGGAAGAUAUCUCUCCCUGUUUUGAACAAACCAAAACAACAACAACAACAACAACAAAUCCUACAGGUAUCACAGGCAACAUCCAUGUAACUUUCACAACAUAAUUUGCUGCAAAAAUGCAGAGUGUAGUCUGUAUCCCUUCAAGUGCUGUGUGGAGCCUCUGUCAAGAUGCAUCUUUCAUGUUUCCAUAUUAAGUAAACAGUCAUUUUUAGGAGCAACAAGAACCUGCUUUGUUGAUAAUGAAAAAUGAUGCUUGACUACAUUUUAUAGAGGAAUUUUAAUCCAGCAAUAUGUCUGCUCUGGCAAGGAACCACAUCCAAAGAUCCAGGUCUGUGUGAUCUGGGUGGAACACAGACAUGACAUACACCUUUAAUCCCAAACAAUGUAGGGACUAGAAGAUUUCUUAUGUCACUUUUUAUCUGCACCACCACUUUGCCUUUAAAGAAGAUGUAUCCCAAUUUUCAAGACCAGACCUUAUGUACUGUACUGAAGAUUAUCUGUUAGGGACAGCAAACUAUACCACGUCAUAGGAAAAGACUGUUUCAAAUCUCUAAAAUGUCAGGAGCAGAGAAAGUCCUGAGUCUGUGGAGUGAAUAUCUUUUGAUAAAGGUGCAGCCAUGUUAAUGACUUCAAAUUGCUGGGCUCAGAGAGAUGGCAAAGCCUUCCAAGGGAACUGAAGGACUGGAUUCCCAAAAGGUUUGGAGUGAUGUUCUUCUGGUAAAUUUACAUAAUAAGCUGCUGCAGAUUGGACUCAAUACAGAUUAAACAAUGCCAAAUGCAAUGGGCCAGAGAGAUGGUUCAAUGAUUAGAAAUGUGUACUACUUUUGCCCAAGACCUGAGAUGGCUUCCCAGCACCUACAUUACAGCGUUGAUCAUUGCCUCUGACCACAGCUCCAGUAGAUCGGGCAUCCUUUUCUGUCAUCUGUGGGCAUGCGUGCUAUGUGCACAUACACAAAGACACACACAAAACGUGCAUAAAUAUUACAAAAAAGACAAUAAACCUUUUAUAAAAUGAAGUACUUUUUGGAACUUAACUCUUUAAAACAAGUAAUGCUGUAUGAAGUGUUGCUGUUUUUGUAAUUCUUAAAGUUCAAAAAGGUGAUUGUAAUUUCACUGUUUGAAUCUCUCAUGCAAAACUGCUGUGUGAAGUGCACAAUAAAGUCCAUCUUAAGGGAUAAUCCAAAUAUGCAUUUUAUUAAAGAAAUAAUCUAUU
rnacentral:lncRNA from 1 species